rnacentral:tRNA from 1 species
GGUUUCGUGGUGUAGUUGGUUAUCACGUCAGUCUAACACCACUGAAGGUCUCCGGUUCAAGUGGCGAAAUCA